UACGUAGGGGGCAAGCGUUGUCCGGAAUCAUUGGGCGUAAAGAGCGUGUAGGCGGCCCGAUAAGUCCGUUGUGAAAGUCCAGGGCUCAACCCUGGGAUGCCGGUGGAUACUGUCGGGCUCGAGUCCGGAAGAGGAGUGUGGAAUUCCUGGUGUAGCGGUGAAAUGCGCAGAUAUCAGGAGGAACACCAAUGGCGAAGGCAGCACUCUGGGACGUGACUGACGCUGAGACGCGAAAGCGUGGGGAGCAAACAGG
rnacentral:rRNA from 1 species